rnacentral:rRNA from 1 species
GAGGGUGCAAGCGUUAUCCGGAUUCACUGGGUUUAAAGGGUGUGUAGGCGGGCAAUUAAGUCAGCGGUGAAAUCUCCGGGCUCAACCCGGAAACUGCCAUUGAUACUAUUUGUCUUGAAUAUCGUUGAGGUAGGCGGAAUAUGUCAUGUAGCGGUGAAAUGCUUAGAUAUGACAUAGAACACCGAUUGCGAAGGCAGCUUGCUAAACGAUGAUUGACGCUGAGGCACGAAAGCGUGGGGAUCAAACAGG